GGGGGGGGGGGUGCUUACCAUGCAAGUCGAACGAUGAGAGGGAGCUUGCUCCCUGGAUUAGUGGCGAACGGGUGAGUAACACGUGAGUAACCUGCCCUUGACUCUGGGAUAAGCACUGGAAACGGUGUCUAAUACCGGAUACGAACUUCAGCCGCAUGGCUAGGAGUUGGAAAGAAUUUCGGUCAAGGAUGGACUCGCGGCCUAUCAGCUAGUUGGUGAGGUAAUGGCCCACCAAGGCGACGACGGGUAGCCGGCCUGAGAGGGUGACCGGCCACACUGGGACUGAGACACGGCCCAGACUCCUACGGGAGGCAGCAGUGGGGAAUAUUGCACAAUGGGCGCAAGCCUGAUGCAGCAACGCCGCGUGAGGGACGACGGCCUUCGGGUUGUAAACCUCUUUUAGUAGGGAAGAAGCGAAAGUGACGGUACCUGCAGAAAAAGCACCGGCUAACUACGUGCCAGCAGCCGCGGUAAUACGUAGGGUGCAAGCGUUAUCCGGAAUUAUUGGGCGUAAAGAGCUCGUAGGCGGUUUGUCGCGUCUGCUGUGAAAACUGGGGGCUCAACCCCCAGCCUGCAGUGGGUACGGGCAGACUAGAGUGCGGUAGGGGAGAUUGGAAUUCCUGGUGUAGCGGUGGAAUGCGCAGAUAUCAGGAGGAACACCAAUGGCGAAGGCAGAUCUCUGGGCCGUAACUGACGCUGAGGAGCGGAAGCAUGGGGAGCGAACAGGAUUAGAUACCCUGGUAGUCCAUGCCGUAAACGUUGGGAACUAGAUGUAGGGUCCAUUCCACGGAUUCUGUGUCGCAGCUAACGCAUUAAGUUCCCCGCCUGGGGAGUACGGCCGCAAGGCUAAAACUCAAAGGAAUUGACGG
rnacentral:rRNA from 1 species